AGCUUUGUGCAAUGGCAGUAUCGUAGCCAAUGAGGUUUAUUUGAGGCGCGAUUAUUGCUAAUAAGAUACAAAAGUUACAUUUC
rnacentral:snRNA from 1 species